AUUUCAUUUUUUUUUUCCCAAUGGCCUCUGGGAUACGACUAACCAGUCAUCAUCCCCAUCUCAAUCGCGUGUUGCCUCUCCUCUCCAUCCACUCCGUCGUACACUAGCUAGCAAUCGCGUGUUGCCUCUCCCUCUUCACCCACUCCGCCGUACCUUUCGUCAUCUUCUUUUUCAUUGAUUUCUCUUCCAAAGAUUUCCCUGUUUGAUAUCUCCAACUCCAAUGUCUACACACAUGAAUUCCAUUUGAAGCUUAUGCCCUGGUAGAGAAGCAUGGAAGAUCAGAGCAAGGGGUUACUAGGAAGUGGGAGAUGGCGCCUACUGCUGAACCUUCCAAGCCAUAUGCAGCUUGUCCUGAUUGAUUCUGAGGGUUCCAAAAUAGAGGCUACUAUCAAGAAGUAUAUGAUGAGAAAAUUUCAAAAGGAUAUUGUUCAAGGCAAUGUCUAUAAGAUUAUGAUUUUUCUUUUUUUUCAACUGAACUCUCAUUUGAUGAAUAUUAUUGUGAUUUUUCAAGGUCUAUUAGCGAGGACUCUGUUAGAAGGCAAGUUACAGAGGCAUGAACAAUAACUUUGCUCAAAAUCUCAAGGCCUACAUAUCACUGUUUUCGGCAUUAGAUUCUAAGGUUGGAGUUUGCUCAUUAUGACUACAAAACUUGCAAAACCAUAUCAGCCAAGGACUUUGCACUUUCCAUGGUUGCUUCUGCAGACAUGAGUCAUAUAGGCAAGUUGCCUGAACGAGUUGAUGAGUUGGGCAAUGAUCCACGUUGUAAGAAUGUACGCAUCACAUUUGAGGACUUCAAAAUUUUUGGAGAGCUAAGAAAGAAGUUAUUUUCACUGUCAUUGGCCCUUUUCAGUUUUGGAAAAUUAAAUGGCAUCUUGACAAGAGAUGAUUUUCAGAGAGCAGUAUCACAUGUAAGUUACAGAGACAUGGACAAUAACUUUGCCCAAAAUCUCAAGGCC